AUUGAACGCUGGCGGCAUGCCUUACACAUGCAAGCCGAACGGUAACAGGUUAAGCUGACGAGUGGCGAACGGGUGAGUAAUGCAUCGGAACGUGCCCGGUCGUGGGGGAUAACGCAGCGAAAGCUGCGCUAAUACCGCAUACGAUCUGAGGAUGAAAACGGGGGACCGUAAGGCCUCGCGCGAUCGGAGCGGCCGAUGUCAGAUUAGGUAGUUGGUGGGGUAAAGGCUCACCAAGCCAACGAUCUGUAGCUGGUCUGAGAGGACGACCAGCCACACUGGGACUGAGACACGGCCCAGACUCCUACGGGAGGCAGCAGUGGGGAAUUUUGGACAAUGGGCGAAAGCCUGAUCCAGCAAUGCCGCGUGCAGGAAGAAGGCCUUCGGGUUGUAAACUGCUUUUGUACGGAGCGAAAAGGCCUCCUCUAAUACAGGGGGCUCAUGACGGUACCGUAAGAAUAAGCACCGGCUAACUACGUGCCAGCAGCCGCCGUAA
rnacentral:rRNA from 1 species